CUCCGUCUCCCCCCACGUCUGGCCCCGCCCCUCAGGUCAGGCUCCCGCUGCGCCAAUGGGGUUUGAGUUUACUCUUUGCUUUGGCUUGAGCGUAAACCACGUGAGGAGGCUUCUGCCUCGUGACCAGGGCGUCACGUGACGCCCCUCUCCGCGCUCGCCGCUCUGGGGCCCGGCGCUCUCCCGGGGAAGGAGGGCGACUCUGAUGAGCUACUAACGCAGCGUGUCUGGUGGCACAAACUCCGGGGACCGCUCCUGAGAGGCGUGGAGGCUCGUCGCCCAGAAAUGUGUAGGGCGAUGAGGCGCUGGGACUGGACGGGCUCCCGUGUGACGGGCGCGGCCACGCCCCUGCCGCCCCGGGGGCCCGGCUGGAUCUUCCGCGGGCGCUUGGAGAUCGUUGCGCCCCGUUGGGCACCCGGUUUUCGCUCUUGAAAGUUGCUAGGCAAAGCAUUUUCGGUUAUUUUGUUCUUCGCCGCGACGGGAGGGCUAACAGAAGAAGGAGAAGGAAAAGAUCUAAAGUGAGGAGUGUCGUGGGAGGUCCUGAAACACCAAUUAGAAGACCGCGGUGUCUAAAUAUUGAAACGUGUUGCCUCCCAAAGCUGCUGAGAUGUACUGGCAAAGAUAGCCCUGCGAUGUGAUUUCUCUCCAGCAUCUCAGAUUUUAGAGAAAGAUCCAAACGACAUGGAUCCUUGUGCUCAAGGGUAAUGCAGUGCGCUCUGGUGAGACAUCAGGCACCAGCACGCAGGCCUUCUGGUGGAUCCCCGGAAAAACCCUCCAAGAUGGUAAUUAUCUCACCAUGCUGUAGACCCGGGCACCUCUUAGGGGUGGCUCCAGGUUGGUGGGUCCUAAAGCUUUUAAGUUAGGGAGGAUCCGUGCGGGGAAAGAAUGCAUAUUACCAAGUGAGGUCCAGGGCCUUGGGAAGGUGGUGGGCAGGGCCCGCACAGUAAAGCUUAUUUAGCUCCCAGUAAGUGCACCUUGGAGCCUGUAAAUGAUAACGCUGGAA
rnacentral:lncRNA from 1 species